rnacentral:rRNA from 1 species
AACGAACGCUGGCGGCGUGCCUAACACAUGCAAGUCGAGCGUGAAAGUUCCUUCGGGAAUGAGUAAAGCGGCAGACGGGUGAGUAAUACAUAGGUAAUCUACCUUCGAGCUUGGGAUAACCCCGCGAAAGUGGAGCUAAUACCGGAUAAGACCACGUGGCUUAAGCUACGUGGUAGAAGGUGGCUUGUAUUUAUACUGGCUAUCACUUGAGGAUGAGCCUAUGGCCUAUCAGCUUGUUGGCGGGGUAAGAGCCCACCAAGGCUAUGACGGGUAGUUUGUCUGAGAGGACGACCAACCACACUGGGACUGAGACACGGCCCAGACUCCUACGGGAGGCAGCAGUGGGGAAUAUUGGGCAAUGGGCGAAAGCCUGACCCAGCGACGCCGCGUGGGUGAUGAAGGCCUUCGGGUUGUAAAGCCCUGUCAUGCGGAAAGAACAGUCUCGUGGCUAAUAUCCACGAGAUUUGACGGUACCGCAGGAGGAAGCACCGGCUAACUCCGUGCCAGCAGCCGCCGUAAGAC